ensembl:snoRNA F52G3.6 ncRNA
UCUUCCACAAACUGAGAACUUCUAAAUUUCACUCCUGAAACCAGUUGUUCAGCUUUGCCGUGAGGCUGUGGUGGGUAACUCCGUCAUUAGUAGUGGCACUCAUUCGCCCGACGCUUCUGACACAUGGAGGAAUCCUGGUGGUCGGUGAACUGUCGUACUUGCACCGAACUUGCCAGGCUCGCCUCUCAGUUUGAA